UACGGAGGAUGCAAGCGUUAUCCGGAAUGAUUGGGCGUAAAGCGUCCGCAGGUGGCUGUGUAAGUCUGCUGUUAAAGAGUGAGGCUCAACCUCAUAAGAGCAGUGGAAACUACACAGCUAGAGUGCGUUCGGGGCAGAGGGAAUUCCUGGUGUAGCGGUGAAAUGCGUAGAGAUCAGGAAGAACACCGGUGGCGAAGGCGCUCUGCUAGGCCGCAACUGACACUGAGAGACGAAAGCUAGGGGAGCGAAUGGG
rnacentral:rRNA from 1 species